GGGACAGACAGUUAAGUCCAAGCACGAUAGAAAGUGAAUGAAUUGUUGUGAACUAUAGUGUGUGUAACUGUGAUAAUUAAGUACUUU